UAAUCCGACCUAGGCUCAUCUCGGAGUGUGAGGCCUUACGGUCCCCCACUUUGGUCUCUCGACAUCAUGCGGUAUUAAUCAGGGUUUCCCCUGGCUAUCCCCCGCUUUGAGGCAGAUUCCUAUGUAUUGCUCACCCGUCCGCCGCUCGCCGGCACCCUUGCGGGCCCGCUGCCGCUCGACUUGCAUGUGUUAGGCACGCCGCCAGCGUUCAAUCUGAGCCAGGAUCAAACUCU
rnacentral:rRNA from 1 species